UCUUAGCGCUGAAGUUUUGUGUCGUUUUGGGUUAAAAAAGUUACCUUUUACGCUAUGUAGGGUAGCCUGGGGUUAAGUGGGCACGGCGGGUUAACUGAACACUCGACCUAGCUGCCACCUGGUGGGCAUACUCAAAACCAACUACGCGUCAAUUUCAUCAGUUAAUAGACCCUUACUAGUGUACCUUGCGCCGAGUUGAUAAUCUUUGUUUUUUUUGAAGUUAUGUUUACAAACGUGUUUCGUGGGGCGAAAAGUAAAUUCCCGGUGAAGCCCAAAUGACAUAUCUAGCUUUUGAGGAAGGCUUUGUAUUUUAACAACUAAAAGGAGAAAAAGGACAACCAACCAUGGGACCUAUUCAGAAGUCAUUGAAAUAAGUUUUCCGUAUCUCUUAGUGAAAAUGUAUAUAAUAUAAGUAUUAAGACAAACAAAAAAUCAUCCUCAGAUGUAUUUCUUUAAUUUUUAAGACUUUUCCACUUGUUCAUUUGACUUAAUAAAAGUUUCCUCUUUC